UACGGGGGGGGCAAGCGUUGUUCGGAAUUACUGGGCGUAAAGGGCUCGUAGGCGGCCAACUAAGUCAGACGUGAAAUCCCUCGGCUUAACCGGGGAACUGCGUCUGAUACUGGAUGGCUGGAGUUCGGGAGAGGGAUGCGGAAUUCCAGGUGUAGCGGUGAAAUGCGUAGAUAUCUGGAGGAACACCGGUGGCGAAGGCGGCAUCCUGGACCGACACUGACACUGAGGAGCGAAAGCCAGGGGAGCAAACGGG
rnacentral:rRNA from 1 species